UACGUAGGGGGCAAGCGUUGUCCGGAUUCAUUGGGCGUAAAGAGCUCGUAGGCGGUUCGGUAAGUCGGGUGUGAAAUCUCCGUGCUCAACACGGAGCGGCCACCUGAUACUGCCGUGACUCGAGUCCGGUAGGGGAGUGUGGAAUUCCCGGUGUAGCGGUGAAAUGCGCAGAUAUCAGGAAGAACACCCGUGGCGAAGGCGGCUCUCUGGGACGGUACUGACGCUGAGACGCGAAAGCGUGGGGAGCGAACAGG
rnacentral:rRNA from 1 species